rnacentral:tRNA from 1 species
ACCCGGGUGGCUCAGUCGGUUAAGCGUCCGACUUCGGCUCAGGUCAUGAUCUCACGGUUUGUGGGUUCGAGCCCCACUUCGGGCU